GGUGGCGCAGCUAACGCAUUAAGUUAUCCGCCUGGGGAGUACGGUCGCAAGAUUAAAACUCAAAGGAAUUGACGGGGGCCUGCACAAGCGGUGGAGCAUGUGGUUUUAAUUUGAAGCAACACCGCGCAGACCCUUACCAGCCUUUGACAUCCUAGGACGGUUUCUGGAGACAGAUUCCUUCCCUUCGGGGACCUAGUGACAGGUGCUGCAUGGCUGUCGUCAGCUCGUGUCGUGAGAUGUUGGGUUAAGUCCCGCAACGAGCGCAACCCUCGUCCUUAGUUGCCAUCAUUCAGUUGGGCACUUUAAGGAAACUGCCGGUGAUAAGCCGGAGGAAGGUGGGGAUGACGUCAAGUCCUCAUGGCCCUUACAGGCUGGGCUACACACGUGCUACAAUGGCAUCUACAGUGAGCAGCGAUCCCGCGAGGGUUAGCUAAUCUCCAAAAGGUGUCUCAGUUCGGAUUGUUCUCUGCAACUCGAGAGCAUGAAGGCGGAAUCGCUAGUAAUCGCGGAUCAGCAUGCCGCGGUGAAUACGUUCCCAGGCCUUGUACACACCGCCCGUCACACCAUGGGAGUUGGAUUCACCCGAAGGCGGUGCGCUAA
rnacentral:rRNA from 1 species